AGCUUUGUGCAGUGGCAAUAUCACAGCCAAUGAGGUUUACCCGAGGCGCAAUUAUUGCUAAUUGAAAACUUGCCCCAAUACCCCACCAUGACAGCUUGAAAUAUAGUUGGCAUUGGCAAUUUUGGGCAGUCUCUACAGGGA
ensembl:snRNA U4 U4 spliceosomal RNA